rnacentral:piRNA from 1 species
UGUAAUCCAUCGUUAAUGUUU